rnacentral:rRNA from 1 species
AACGAACGCUGGCGGCGGGCUUAACACAUGCAAGUCGAGCGCCCCGCAAGGGGAGCGGCAGACGGGUGAGUAACGCGUGGGAAUCUACCCAUCUCUACGGAAUAACGCAUGGAAACGUGUGCUAAUACCGUAUACGUCCUUCGGGAGAAAGAUUUAUCGGAGAUGGAUGAGCCCGCGUUGGAUUAGCUAGUCGGUGGGGUAAAGGCCUACCAAGGCGACGAUCCAUAGCUGGUCUGAGAGGAUGAUCAGCCACACUGGGACUGAGACACGGCCCAGACUCCUACGGGAGGCAGCAGUGGGGAAUAUUGGACAAUGGGCGCAAGCCUGAUCCAGCCAUGCCGCGUGAGUGAUGAAGGCCCUAGGGUUGUAAAGCUCUUUCACCGGUGAAGAUAAUGACGGUAACCGGAGAAGAAGCCCCGGCUAACUUCGUGCCAGCAGCCGCCGUAAGAC